ensembl:snRNA U6 U6 spliceosomal RNA
GUGCUCGCUUCGGCAGCACAUGUACUAAGGAACUGGAAUGAUCCAGAGAAGAUUAGCAUGGCCCCUGCACAAGGAUGACAUGCAAAUUCCUGAAGUGUUCCAUAUUUGG